GCAAGGCCACCCACCAGAGCAGCUCCUAUCUUGGUCUUUAUCUUCCAAGCUCCGGUGGACGUGUAGCUCUACCACUGCGAGAAGAUUUGUGUCCGUCCCCCUCCCCAACCACGCCCUUCAUUUUGGCGGUGCUGGGGAUUGAACCCAGGGCCUCACGCAUGCUGGACAAGCGCUCUACCACUGAGACACAUGUAACCCCAAUUCUCUUUGACCAGCCGCCUUCUGUCCAGGUUUCCUGAAGCUUCGAGCUUCCCGGGUCCCAUGACUUCAAUACAUGGUCAAUUUCUAGUGUCAUGAUCAUUUCUCAAACUACAGAGAAGCCAUGUUUGCUUUAUUCAUUCAUCCAGCAAAUAUUCUAUUAAUGUCAACUAUAUUCCACUAUUGGCCCAGGCACUGAGGAUACAGAAGUGAACAAAGAUUCUGCUAUCAUAGAGCUCACAAGGGCUGCUCCAACUUGACUGCACACAGCACCAGAACCCCAGAGGCUUCUUAAAACACAGUGCAGUGUUCCAGGAGGCCUGAGGAUGUGCAUUUCCCACAAGUUUUCAACAUUCUGAUGCUGCUGGCCCAGGGCCCCCACUUUAAGAACCACUGCUUUGUUAUAAUCACCCUAAUCUUCAGGGCAUCUGCAACCAGGGAGCUGAGCAUUGCUCAAGGAAAAUCACCCAACCCCACUGCUUUCAUUUAAAUUCAUGAUUACAGACGCUAGAGGAGCCCUCAGUAACUGCCUGGCUAUUCUUUCCCAUUUCCCUAGUAAAGUCCCUUGUCUAAUCUGUACUCUGUUCUCUCUUCUCAAACUUCCAUGUCUUGCCUACUUUUCAGUUUCAGCAGAUAACCUCACCUCCCACACUGCAGGGAGGAACUAGAGUAGAGGCCUGGAAUCGGGAACUCCCUCAUCUCCCCAGUGGUGCUUGAGGCUCCUCUGACUUUCCUCCUGUUAAAAGGGAAGGACAGAUCUCUGUCAGUCACCAGCCAAUCCCCCUCUUGCUCUGCCUCCCAUCAGCCUCACCUUUCCAAGGGCUGUGCUUCUUUAAUCACUCCUUCUUUCUUAUGCCAUUGAUGUAUGUGUUGAUUGGGAUUGUUCCCCUCAUCCCCACCUUUAACCUUCCCUUGACUCUGUGUCCCCUUCCAGUCACUGUUAACAUUUCUCUCCUUCCAGUCACAAAUAUUCUUGAAAAAGUUGUUGACUCACCAUGUUACCUCAU